AUUGAACGCUGGCGGCAGGCCUAACACAUGCAAGUCGAACGAGUGGCGGACGGGUGAGUAAUGUCUGGGGAACUGCCCGAUAGAGGGGGAUAACUACUGGAAACGGUAGCUAAUACCGCAUACUAUCGGAUGUGCCCAUAUGGGAUUAGCUAGUAGGUGGGGUAACGGCUCACCUAGGCGACGAUCCCUAGCUGGUCUGAGAGGAUGAUCAGCCACACUGGGACUGAGACACGGUCCGGACUCCUACGGGAGGCAGCAGUGGGGAAUAUUGCACAAUGGGCGCAAGCCUGAUGCAGCCAUGCCGCGUGUAUGAAGAAGGGCCUAGGGUUGUAAAGUACUUUCAGUGAGGAGGCGUUACGGACAGAAGAAGCACCGGCUAACUCCGUGCCAGCAGCCGCGGUAAUUC
rnacentral:rRNA from 1 species